AUGAAUACCACUUGAGCGAUGACUCAAGUGAUGAGGACAAUGAUGAACUUGAACUUCGAACACUAAAUCUUAAUAAGUUCAUUAAACAAAAAUCUAAAAUAAACAAUGAACUUGAACGGAGGAAGAGGCCAAAGAAGAGGAAGGCAACCAAGGAUGAAUCAAAAACUUUCAAAGGUGAAACGACGAAUUGGGCUUUGAUGGGCUUCGAC
rnacentral:lncRNA from 1 species